UCGGCCGUGGUGAAAUGGCAUCACCCCUGGUUUUGGUCCAGGUAUUCCGGGUUCGAGUCCUGGCGGCCGAG
rnacentral:tRNA from 1 species